rnacentral:lncRNA from 1 species
AUCUCUCUCUCUCUAUCAAGCUACGUAAAAUACGACAACAGUGUGUAGGAGCCACAAUUGACAUUAUCAGAUAUUGUGGCUUUUCUUUGCGCAUGGUCGUAUGUGAUUUGACUUUCUUAUGAAAAGCCUUUACUCAAAGGAUAAAAUGGCAGAGUUAUUGGAUUAGUAGCGAGAUAUUUUGUAUUGGAUAUUGUCGGAAACGGUAUAGUGUUUGUCUCUUGAAUAAAAUAAAAUACGACAAAAAGGAAAUGUGAGGAGACAUAAUACGUUAUUGUUUGAAUGAAGAUAUUUGAAGAUUAUCAACAUUAGACCGACUCUCAGGACGUUUUUUUUUCUUCUAAGUUUUGCUUCACAUAUUAACAGAAGACUGGCUACGAUUUCUCGAGGUGUGCUAGGGAUGGAGAAGGAAGAUUUGAAGCGGCAGGUAGAGAUGCUGCGGAUACAUAAAGAUUUACAGAGAAUGUUUGUCUCUGAUGCUGUUAAAGAUAUGAUAUGCUUCAUCGACCAAAACAUGAACGAAGAUGGUUUAAUAGUGCCUCCGGAUAAGAAGAAGAACCCUUGGGACAAUGCAAGAAAAUGUUCCAUAUUGUAAACUAACAAGUUUCGUAAUAAAAGCAUUUUAUUAUGAAACUUGCACAAAUGUGUUUAGAAUGAUAUAUUUUUAAAAUGAAAGGCAUAGGCCAGUGUUUGAAAUGGUUUGAGACGGGGAAUUUAGCUCCAUUGCCAAAAAAAAUAAAGAAAAAAAAGAACUAUAAUAAUAUAGGAGAUAUGUACGAGUCGUCACAAUAAAUCUAGAUCAUUAGAAUGCAUUUCUAUUAAAACAUCUUUAUAAGCAGACAAAUCACUGUUUCUAGUUUUAAUCGAAAUAAACGCUUUUGUAAGCCUCUAGUUUAAAACGUGACUACUAAUACGUUGCAGCAUAUUGCAUUAUACAUAUGCAUAUAAAGAAAAAUAAGAAAAGCACAUACAUUCCCUCAUAGCAACUUGCCCUUGGUCUUCAUCUGAAACUCAUGAUAAUUAUUAUGAUAACAAAACUUGACACUUUAACACUAUAUACUUUUAUAUAAGCGCCAUUUUUUUAACUUAACGGUGUUCAUUCUUCAUUAGCAAAACAGUCACGUAUCGUUUAACACUUUCAAUGUAUGUAAAUACAAACUUGAUAGACGAACUUUGUUCACAACAACUGUACGUUUUCAAUGACUUGAAAUCAUGUUUUAGAAGUUAUUACCGUUCGAGAUUACGAAACAACGUGAAAUUAUGGUAAAUAUUAUAUUUGAUACAGAAGUUUCCAUUUGGUGUUCUUUAUUUAAUUGCUUGUAUAGGGAUCCUCUGUGAACAACGUACUUGCUAUUGAUCUUGAUAGGAUUUAGAUCAGUAUUUGACGUUUGAAGUCUGAAUUAAGACAUUUUUAAUUGCUUAAUUUCAUUUUAAGACGUAUAUUGUUAUAUUUUUACGUGUUGUUAUGAAAUUCCGAAUGAAUGAUAGCCCCAUAGCUACAGAUAUGUCAUUAAAUAGUGAACAUUCUAAAUAUUAUAUCAUAAUGAUAGUAAAUUUACAAUUCAGACUUUCCAAAUCAAAAUUUCAGACUAUUAACAUUGAUGAAUAUGGAACCUGGACUAUCAGUAUUUUUACAGUGUCAGUUUACUAGAUUGUUUUCCUAGCUUUAAUGACUGUAUGUGAUGUCUUUUAUGUAAAUAAGCACGUAUAUAGCUGUAGUAAAUUUCAUACCUCUAAAAUGUAAACUUAAAUACUAUUGUGUUUUGUUGUUUUGAUAGUAUGUUACUACACACGCAAAGUGUAUGAUUAUGAUUGAUUAUUAGAUAUACCCUUUGCUUAAGAAUGUGGGAAGUAAGACAAAUUACUUGCAAAUGCAGCUUUGAUUUGAAACACGCCUGUAGUCCUAUAAUUGAAGUGGAAUAGAAGAAACUUGUCUGCCCCUUAUAAAAAAAUCUUUCAAUUCAAUAAGUCUAGUCUAUAAUAUGACGUUUGAUACAUUUGUGUCAAAGAUAUAUUAUGACAUACUCAGUCAUAAGCUUGAAUAUAAUCAGCGAACCUUAAGAAGACGUAAGUUUGAAAUUGUGAUCAUGACUGUGUAACCUUUAAACAUGGUUUUUAUUUCUUUUGCUUAGUCUAACUUAUUGUUAGAUGUACCUAAGAGCAAUGCACGUGUUUACAGGUAACAUAAAAAUACAUAUUCGAUUAAGCAAGUGAUGACUUUUCUGGAAACGGUCUAGUGUCAAAUCAAUUCAAGAUACACCAAUGUAUAGUUUGCUAAAUACUCAUAAAUGAAAAUAGACUACUUCACCAUUUGGAUAUUAUUCUGGGGAUAAGAUACUGUCUAAAAGUUAUUUAUUUUAUUUUAUUUUGCUGCUUCUACAUUUAAAAAAAAAUCUAAACACUUAUCAUUGGAAUGUAUUGCAAACUGUUACUUUAAUUUCUACGCUGAUUUAUAAAUGAAUACUGAAAAUUGCAGAUCACCAUGUAUAUUUGAGCCGUGCCAUAGGAAAACCAACAUAGUGGCUUUGCUACCAGCAUGGAUCCAGACCAGCCUGCGCAUCCGCGAAGUCUGGUCAGGAUCCAUGCUGUUCGCUAACAGUUUCUCUA